rnacentral:rRNA from 1 species
UUCCAGACUCCUACGGGAGGCAGCAGUGAGGAAUAUUGGUCAAUGGGCGGGAGCCUGAACCAGCCAAGUCGCGUGAGGGAAGACGGUCCUACGGAUUGUAAACCUCUUUUGCCGGGGAGCAACGGGGUCCUUGCGAGGGCCCGAUGAGAGUACCCGGAGAAAAAGCAUCGGCUAACUCCGUGCCAGCAGCCGCGGUAAUACGGAGGAUGCGAGCGUUAUCCGGAUUUAUUGGGUUUAAAGGGUGCGUAGGCGGACAGUCAAGUCAGCGGUAAAAAUGCGGUGCUCAACGCCGUACAGCCGUUGAAACUGGCAGUCUUGAGUGGGCGAGAAGUAUGCGGAAUGCGUGGUGUAGCGGUGAAAUGCAUAGAUAUCACGCAGAACUCCGAUUGCGAAGGCAGCAUACCGGCGCCCGACUGACGCUGAGGCACGAAAGCGUGGGUAUCGAACAGGAUUAGAUACCCGUGUAAG